rnacentral:lncRNA from 1 species
AGGUGGGAAUUGAACAAUGAGAACACUUGGACACAGGAAGGAGAACAGCACACACCAGGGCCUGUCGUGGGGUGGGGGGAGGGGGGAGGGAUAGCAUUAGGAAAUAUACCUAAUGUAAAUGAUGAGUUAAUGGGUGCAGCACACCAACAUGGCACAUGUAUACAUAUGUAACAAACCUGCAUGUUGUGCACCUGUACCCUAGAACUUAAAGUAUAAUUUUAAAAAAUUGAAUGCUUUAA